AAAAAAGAAUAUAUUUUCUAAAAGUUGCUACAAUUCAAUAAUAAAAAGACUAAUAUCCAAAUUUUAAAAUGUAUAAAAGCUUUGAACUGACAAUUUACAAAAUAAGAUAUAUGGCAGAUCAGCACAUUAGAAGAUGCCCAGCAUCAUUAAUCAUCAAGGAAGUGCAGAUCAAAAUCGCCCCCUGACCUACCAGAAUUGCUAAAAUGAAACAGGCUAAUCACUACUAAUGCAACAGCAACUCUCAUACACUACCGUAUGGUGUAAAGUGAUACAACCAUUUUGGAAAACUGUUUGCAAGUUUCUUAAAACAUUUAUACAUACCUCUUCCACUUAACCACAGCAUCUACAGAAAUGAAAACACAUGUCCACAAAAAGCCUUGCACAAAAGUGUUUACAGCAGCCCCAAACUAGAAGCAACCCAAAUGUCCAUCUACUGGGAAGUGCAUAACCAAACUGUAGUACAUGCAUGCAACUGUCUUCUGCUUCCAGGCUAAGUUCUUUGCUUUUAAGGGCUUCUGGGAUUAGAUUGGACCCACCCAGAUAAUUCCAGAUAAUCUUACUUUCAGUCCCACACCACCUCAGCCCUCCUGCUCUUCAGAGCUCAGUGCACAGGGCUCAUUUCCUCUCGGAUGACCUUCUCCGCUAAGUCCAUUUAUACAGGGUUCCCUUCUUGUGCAGAACUAGGCCAGCUUCCCACAUGUUCCAGGGCAAACUCACUUUGAGCAGGCUGUGUGUGUGUGUGUGUGUUCCCGGCUUUCUGCUAUAAAUUGAAGAUUGUGGAGGGCAGGGACUAUGUCUUUUUCUUCUUUUUGCCCUCCACUUAGCCCCUUGACUUUUUGCCCUCCACUUAGUCCCUCACACAGUGCAGCUUAGUGGAGAAGCACAUGGCCUGUAGAAUCAGAUGGAACCAUGUGAGGUUUGGGACCACAAGUGGAUACACAAAACAGGAAUCCUCUCCAAUAAGGAUACCCUUGAGCCAACCACUGGAGUCAAAGUCUCACCAUGUUGCCCA
rnacentral:lncRNA from 1 species